AGCCAUUCAAUGUUAGUGAUGGCUGUUUAACAGUCUGAAGGCCUUGAGAUAGAAGCAGUUUUUCAGUCCCAUCUUUGAUGCACCUGUACUGACCUCGCCUUCUGGAUGAUAGCGGGGUGAACAGGUAGUGGCUCGGGUGGUUGUUGUCCUUGAUGAUCUUUUUGGCCUUCCUGUGACAUCGAGUGGUGUAGGUGUCCUGGAGGGCAGGUAGUUUGCCCCUCGGUGAUGCGUUGUGCAGACCUCACUACCCUCUGGAGAGCCUUGCGGUUGUGGGCGGAGCAGUUUCCGUACCAGGCGGUACUAUCUUGGCUUUUUGCAUUAGUUUCCCUAGUUUAGGUCUAUGUGUGGCUGCAUUCGUUUCCCUAGUUUAGGUCUAUGUGUGGCUGCAUUAGUUUCUGUAGUUUAGGUCUAUGUGUGGCUGCAUUCGUUUCCCUAGUUUAGGUCUAUGUGUGGCUGCAUUAGUUUCUGUAGUUUAGGUCUAUGUGUGGCUGCAUUCGUUUCCCUAGUUUAGGUCUAUGUGUGGCUGCAUUAGUUUCUGUAGUUUAGGUCUAUGUGUGGCUGCAUUAUUUUCUGUAGUUUAGGUCUAUGUGUGGCUGCAUUAGUUUCUGUAGUUUAGGUCUAUGUGUGGCUGCAUUCGUUUC